rnacentral:rRNA from 1 species
AUGUAUAAGUAUAAACGAUUUACUCGUGAAACCGCGAACGGCUCAUUAUAACAGCUGUGAUCUACUUGAUCUUGACACUCCUACUUGGAUAACUGUGGUAAUUCUAGAGCUAAUACAUGCACGAAAACUCGGAGUCUUCGGCCGAUGAGUGCAUUUAUUGGAAGAAAACCAAUUUGCGGUGCUCCGGCAUCGUAAUUCGUUGACUCAGAAUAACUAAGCUGAUCGCAUGGCCUUGUGCCGGCGACGUGUCUUUCGAGUAUCUGCCUUAUCAACUUUCGAUGGUUGUAUUUGACUACCAUGGUGGUGACGGGUAACGGAGGAUAAGGUCGACUCCGGAGAAGGGGCCUGAGAAAUGGCCACUACGUCUAAGGAUGGCAGCAGGCGCGCAAAUUACCCACUCUCAGCACACUGAGGAGGUAGUGACGAAAAAUAACGGAGUUGUCCCAAUGGGUCAACUAUCGGAAUGGGUACAAUUUAAACCCUUUAACGAUUAGCAAUGAGAGGGCAAGUCUGGUGCCAGCAGCCGCGGUAAUUCCAGCUCUCAAAAUGCAUAGAUACAUUGCUGCGGUUAAAAAGCUCGUAGUUGGAUGCGUCCGGGGUGCGGGGUCCACUCUCCGGAGUGCGUACUCUUGUUGCUUCGGCUUUAAUGUCGGCUUCGCUUGUCGUAGUCUUAAGUGAUUGCGUGCAUGUGGGCUGGCGAGUUCUUUGAACAAAUCAGAGUGCUCCAAACAGGCGUUUACGCUUGAAUGUUUUUGCAUGGAAUAAUAGAAGAGGAUUUCGGUUCUUGUUUUGUUGGUUUUAUGGACCGAUUGGUUAAUAGAGACAAACGGGGGCAUUCGUACUUCUGCGUGAGAGGUGAAAUUCUUGGACCGCAGAAAGACGCACUACAGCGAAAGCAUUUGCCAAGAAUG